UAUGCAGCAAAGAGUCCAUACUUCUACUGGACUGUUAACAAGAUCUCUCUCAUCAUUCUUUUUUUGUUGUUUUUUUGCCCAUCUGCGAAUGUAACUCAAAAUGACAUUGCUACGAUAGGAAACCAAUCUAUUUGCAGCAGAGCAAGCAACAGCCUGUCGGUACUGUGGCAAGUGUGGAGGACAUGUUUCCUCCUUAUACUCGGAAUGACGUUAAGACAUUGUCAAGUACGACAAGAACAAGAAGUUCAACAUAUGGACACAUAACUUCGAAAGAAUAUUCACUCAACUGAAGAGGCAAGAGAGCAGGGAGGAGACACAAGGGAAACUCGACUAAAUGAAGAUUUGGAGGAACAGACUAUGUUGCCACUGAAAGAUGUAUGUGACAGUGUUGAUCCUUUGGGUUCCCAUGACGAUAGCUGUCACAUCCUCAUCCUUCACAAGAAGGUGUCAGAGGCUCCAAUCUGUGUCAGAGCAAUGCAGCUGCACAUCAGGCCUGCCUGAAUUAUACAAAAGAUUCUCCUUCUGCUACCUGUCAUGUCUCUCUUGCUGAGUGAAGAAACAGCGGUGUCCAGUAACUGACGUGGCUCAGAACAACAAGGACAGAUCGUGGAAAGGAAUACAUGUGAGUUUCAACAAAAAAUAUAGUAGACUCUCUAAGUAGGGCUGGGU